CGGCGGACGGGUGAGUAAUGCAUAGGAAACUGCCCAGUAGUGGGGGAUAGCCCGGGGAAACCCGGAUUAAUACCGCAUACGCCCUUUGGGGGAAAGCAGGGGAUCUUCGGACCUUGCGCUAUUGGAUGUGCCUAUGUCGGAUUAGCUAGUUGGUGGGGUAAGAGCCUACCAAGGCGACGAUCCGUAGCUGGUCUGAGAGGAUGAUCAGCCACAUCGGGACUGAGACACGGCCCGA
rnacentral:rRNA from 1 species